rnacentral:rRNA from 1 species
GACGAACGCUGGCGGCGUGCUUAACACAUGCAAGUCGAACGCUGAAGCUCAGCUUUUGUUGGGUGGAUGAGUGGCGAACGGGUGAGUAACACGUGAGUAACCUGCCCCCUUCUUUGGGAUAACGCCCGGAAACGGGUGCUAAUACUGGAUAUUCACUGGUCUUCGCAUGGGGGUUGGUGGAAAGGGUUUUUCUGGUGGGGGAUGGGCUCGCGGCCUAUCAGCUUGUUGGUGGGUUGAUGGCCUACCAAGGCUUUGACGGGUAGCCGGCCUGAGAGGGUGACCUGUCACAGUGGGACUGAGAUACGGCCCAGAGUCCUACGGGAGGCAGCAGUUGGGAAUAUUGCACAAUGGGCGCAAGCCUGAUGCAGCGACGCCGAGUGAGGGAUGGAGGCCGUAGGGUUGUGAACCUCGUUCGCUCAUGGUCAAGCCGAAACAAUGGUUGUGGUGAGGGUAGUGGGUAAAGAAGCGCCGGCUAACUACGUG